rnacentral:lncRNA from 1 species
GGAGGGGAACCAGCGCGAAGGGGAGCUCGAAGGACAGGAUCAUCUGCAUGGCAACCCAAAAUCAGGUGCGGAAAUUCACCAAAUCUGUGAAUUCUGUCUCGCUAGAUGGAAAAUUUUCCAAAUCUGUCUGUGUUCUCGCUUCUUAAUCAUCUCUUGGGAAAAAGAAGGCUACAAAUAGAACGGAUCCAGCAAAAGCCACGUGGAAAUCAUAGUUUUGACUUGGAUAUCGCAGUGAAAUAUUGGUGUGAACAAUUUGAGGAUCAUAAUCUGGCCCACUUUGUGUGGGUAAAAUCCAAGCCGGCGGAAGAAUGAUAAACGAUGGUAAUGGGUCCAAUUACUGAGGCUAUGAUGAUCAAUUUGCCUGCUCCAGCGGAGCCGCCGAUUAUUGCGACAAUGAGGCUGGGAACUAUAGCCAGAGACCGGGUCAGGAGAUUCCGGAUCCAUGGUUUUAUCCUCAGAUUGAGGAACCCCUGCAACAAAAAGGAAACAAAAAGCGAGUGAUGUGUAUGAAAAAUCUUUAUAAGUAGCAUCCGCCCUGUAUGUUAACCAUAGAAUCCCUUGAUCCGGGUUGUGGAAAAAUAUUAAGUCGAUCAAAAUCAUAUGGGAAGAUGGUAAGAUUUAGGGUGGUUCAAGAAUCAAGAACCGCGUUGUGUUUUAUGGGAGAACAAUAAGGGAGGAUAUGGUGUGGCAUAGCUUUUCAGGGGGUAUUAUAUCUAUACCUGCAUCACAUAUUGCCCAGCGUAUGUUCCUGUGAUCGUAGAGCUCUGACCAGAGGCCAGCAGUGCGAUAGCAAACACCUUGGAGCUCCAAUUUCCCAGAACAUUCUGCAGAAUAUGGAUCACGGAAAACAAAUAAAUAAAUAUUUUUAUAAUUAUUAAUCAUUUAAACUAUUUCUCCCCCUCCCCCUCUUUUUUUUUUUACCUUUUAAUCAACUUACACUCACCAAAUGAUGUCUUCUCCUAAUACUCCUCAGCACAGAUUUUGUAUGAAAUCCUCUUCAGAGUAUCACAAUACUUUAUGGAUACUAGGAAAUAAUCAUUAUGUUUAUAUAUGUUGUUUGAUUCAUGAAACCCCCCAGCAUCAGAAGAGUUUUUUGUUUUGUCGACAGAAAGAACAUUAGAUCAAAGAUUAAUUCUGAAGAUUCAAGCUGCCUACUUUGAGUAAGAAUGAGGCUUUGUUGAGAUCCAGGCUCUCACAGCUCUUCUUAUCUUCUGCGUUCAAAUUUGGUGAGCUGCAGACGGCGCCGCUGACGGAGAUGACAGAAACGUUGAUCAAGAAGGCUAUCGAGAGGGCAGCCGCACUCUCUAUGGCGUAGAAUCUGCAUGCGUCCUGCAACCACAUCACGUCACUCAUGAGCCAGGCCAUUAUGAACAUCAGCCU